AACAAGGUAUCCGUACCGGAAGGUGCGGAUGGAUCACCUCCUAACAGGGAGACAACACAAAGAUUUUGAUGUCUGAGUAAUUUAUUCUUAGGCCGAAAUCCUGUCACCUUAGGUCGAUCGGUACCUCAGCGUUGAAGCAACAGAGUUAACAGAGAUGUUGAUGCGUGUUGUGGAGAUGAUCAGUUCCUAAACUUUGUCUAGGUCACACCCCACAAGGGUUGAGUUUUCCUGGGCCAUUAGCUCAGGUGGUUAGAGCGCACCCCUGAUAAGGGUGAGGUCCCUGGUUCAAGUCCAGGAUGGCCCAUUCGGUGUUGGGGGUUUAGCUCAAUUGGUAGAGCGCCUGCUUUGCAAGCAGGAUGUCAGGAGUUCGAGUCUCCUAACCUCCACUGACCGAACUCAAUCUCCGGUUUUGCAUUGAAAGAUGGAGAGCCACUCGAUUGUGAAGUGUGAUUUAGAUGUGUCCGCUGGAUGACCCCAGCUUCCUGUCAUUCCAAAUCGAAGUAAAGGAUUUUACUUGAACGAAUUUGGUUGAUAAGAUGCUGGGCUCGAUUUCAAUGAUCAAGAGAUUGAUCAUUGGAUUUGCA
rnacentral:tRNA from 1 species